GCAAACUUCAUUAUAUAUAUAUUUUUUUAAUUCUUAUGUUUUAUGGAAGUGUAGUUGAUUUGCAGUGUUAAUUUCAAGUGUACAGCAAAGUGAUUCAGUUUUAUAUAUAUAUAUAUAUUAGAUCAUUUUCCACUACAGAAAAGAAAUUGAAUUUAGUUCCCUGUGCUGUACAGUAGUAGGUCCUUGUUGUUUAUCUGCUUUAUGUGAAGCAGUGUGUACCUGUUAAUCCAAACUGCUAAUCUGUCCCAACCCCCUUCCUGCCUGGUAACUGCAGUUUGUUUUUCUAUGUCUGUGAGUCUAUUUCUGGGCAGACUUCAUUUACCCUAGAAGUUCAUCAACCGAAAGUUUAAGGUGAAAAGGACAUGGAGGAGAUGCUGAGCAGCGAAAGGGGGCUGGUCUCAUUACUUCCUUGAGGGACAGAGGAAUCCCGGUAAUGGACCGAACACAGAGGAGGAGGAGUGGGGAUGAUGGGGGAGCCCCCGUGAAAACUGGGGGAGCCCCUGUGGACUACCUGGUCAUAAUGUAUGACCUGCCAGUUGCUGGCUUCAACGUUGAUCAGCCAGCAGGCACUCACCCAGCUAAAGAGACAGCUUAGUUCUGAGCUGGUGACCUGGGAGACGUGCCAGGAAGCACCGUCUCUGGGGUGCUGCAUCGUGGCGCGGGACAACCAUCCUCCAGCGCCCACCUCCAGCCUGGUGACCGGAGCCACACGACAACGCUGGGCCUCCCCCCAGAGCCCCUGCAGCCAGGUGUGGGGACGACUCACGGCACUGACACGUCCAGGCAUUAAGCUUCGCUUGAACUUGUGUAUGUCUGAAGCUUUGUAACAUUUCCCUUGGGAAUAAGAAGGACUAGGAAACGUGCCGCCUGUGGUGACCUCAGCAUCUCAGGGACCGCUUUAGUACUGCAUAGAUCAGCCGGGAGCAGGCUGCAACACUGCGUGGGGUGUGUGCCCCCUGAGUGGGGUGGACUUGGCUGCAGAAGUGCUGGUGUGCUUGAGCUCUGAAUGCUUUGAAUUCCAAAGCACAGCUGGCCCUGGAUGACUCAGACCUGGCGCUCAGCCAGAGGAUCCCAGGAAAUGCUUGUGAGCGAUUGAGAAGUGGAAACGAACCUCCCAUGUGAAAGGUGCCCCCCCUGCCUCUUCAUGCAGAAGGACACCCUAUCGCCAGAGAUGGGGACUCCGGGCCGAGAAGCCCAGAUGAACCACCGCCUUCAGAUACACACGACUGCAGAGAAAACAGAUGAACAGCAAGGGCCUACCGUAUAGCACAGGGAACAAUAUUCAGUUUCUUGUAAUGAGCUGCCAUGGAGAAGAAAUUGAAGAAAAAAUACAUGUAUCUGUAUAACUGAAUUGCUUUGCUGUGCCCCUGAAACUAAGAUUGUAAAUCAGCCACACUUCAAUAAAAAAUAAGAGUUAAACAAA